ACGAACGCUGGCGGCGUGCUUCACACAUGCAAGUCGAACGCUGAAGCUCAGCUUUUGUUGGGUGGAUGAGUGGCGAACGGGUGAGUAACACGUGAGUAACCUGCCCCCUUCUUUGGGAUAACGCCCGGAAACGGGUGCUAAUACUGGAUAUUCACUGGUCUUCGCAUGGGGGUUGGUGGAAAGGGUUUUUCUGGUGGGGGAUGGGCUCGCGGCCUAUCAGCUUGUUGGUGGGGUGAUGGCCUACCAAGGCUUUGACGGGUAGCCGGCCUGAGAGGGUGACCGGUCACAUUGGGACUGAGAUACGGCCCAGACUCCUACGGGAGGCAGCAGUGGGGAAUAUUGCACAAUGGGCGCAAGCCUGAUGCAGCGACGCCGCGUGAGGGAUGGAGGCCUUCGGGUUGUGAGCCUCUUUCGCUCAUGGUCAAGCCGCAACAAUGGUUGUGGUGAGGGUAGUGGGUAAAGAAGCGCCGGCUAACUACGUG
rnacentral:rRNA from 1 species